GCAGUGGUGGUUCAGUGGUAGAACACUUGCCUUCCAUACAGGGGACCCAGGUUCGAUUCCUGGCCAAUGCA
rnacentral:tRNA from 2 species